rnacentral:rRNA from 1 species
GGCCCCCUGGACAAAGACUGACGCUCAGGUGCGAAAGCGUGGGGAGCAAACGGGAUUAGAUANNNGGUAGUCCACGCUGUAAACGAUNUCGACUUGGAGGUUGUGCCCUNGAGGCGUGGCUUCCGGAGCUAACGCGUUAAGUCGACCGCCUGGGGAGUACGGCCGCAAGGUUAAAACUCAAAUGAAUUGACGGGGGCCCGCACAAGCGGUGGAGCAUGUGGUUUAAUUCGAUGCAACGCGAAGAACCUUACCUACUCUUGACAUCCACGGAACUUGCCAGAGAUGGCUUGGUGCCUUCGGGAACCGUGAGACAGGUGCUGCAUGGCUGUCGUCAGCUCGUGUUGUGAAAUGUUGGGUUAAGUCCCGCAACGAGCGCAACCCUUAUCCUUUGUUGCCAGCACUUCGGGUGGGAACUCAAAGGAGACUGCCGGUGAUAAACCGGAGGAAGGUGGGGAUGACGUCAAGUCAUCAUGGCCCUUACGAGUAGGGCUACACACGUGCUACAAUGGCGUAUACAAAGAGAAGCAAACUCGCGAGAGCCAGCGGACCUCAUAAAGUACGUCGUAGUCCGGAUUGGAGUCUGCAACUCGACUCCAUGAAGUCGGAAUCGCUAGUAAUCGUAGAUCAGAAUGCUACGGUGAAUACGUUCCCGGGCCUUGUACACACCGCCCGUCACACCAUGGGAGUGGGUUGCAAAAGAAGUAGGUAGCUUAACCUUCGGGAGGGCGCUUACCACUUUGUGAUUCAUGACUGGGGUG